rnacentral:lncRNA from 1 species
UCUUUCUUUCCUUCUUUCCUUUCUUUCUUGCUUUCUCUUUUUCUCUCUCCCCCUCUCUCUCUCGCUCUCCCUCCCUUCUUUCUCUCUCUCUCUCUCUUUCCCUCCCUCCAUUCUUUCUCUCUCUCUCUUUCUCUCUCUCCCUCCCUCCCUUCCCUUUUUCUCUUUCUCCAUCUUUCUCUCUCUUUCUUUCUCUCUCUCUCUUUCUCUUUCUCUCUCUCUCUCUCGCCCCCUCUCUCUCUCGCCCAGUCUCAGCACCCCCGCCCUUCCAAUGAUCCUUGUUUAAAGUUGUGGCUUCUGCCAGGCUCCUGGCCCAGCUCUGGUAUAGAGGUCCAUCUUGAGCUCCCACACAUCACUUGCAGCCUUGUUCCUUGUCCAGCUGAUCAGCAGCCAUCACUUCAUCAUGCCCUUGCUCUCCAACCAGCCUUGUACGGCCAGAGUCCAGGAGAAACAAUAUCUGCUCACCUGGGUCUCCAUCUGCUGGUGGCUACUUGGUUGGAAACCCUAAUACAGACAAACUCCAAAAAUGGAGUUGGGAAUCUUGAGGUCCUUCAGACAGCUAGGAACCUGAUCUUGUCUCCUCUGGGGCCAGCCUCUAAGGUCAAAGCAGCUCUUCUUAGACGGUCUCCAACCCUGGUAAAAGGAUGCCUAUGGAGACUGCCCAUUCCGUUGUGGAAAUGGUUCCAUGCAGUUAACCUGCCACCAGGUUAACUGAAUGAUUACCUCAAGAAGUGGUCCCAUAUUGAACUAAGUGUUGGUCUUUGCUUUUGGCAGAGUGGACACUCAGCAGUGGCUGUAGCCAGGUCUGCCUUGUUUGUGGAAGUCUAUGCUGCUGAGUCCUUGUAUAACCUCUCUCUGCCACCGUAGCCACUUUGUUCAUGAGCCCAUUGGGCAAUGACAGGGGUGGCUGGGAAAAGGGGCUGACUGGUAUCCAUAGAAUGGAUCAUCGCAUUCACUUGAUUAUUAAAAUUAUCUUCUGCUGAGGCCACCCUUUUGUGAACAUUCACAAGGGACACAAAUAAGUUCACAUUUGGUGUCCAUUAGAGAGGUGCAUCCACACACUUCUUCACCAGACCCCUUCUCACCAAUUUUCCAGUCAUAUUCCUUCCACAUCCCUCAUCUUCCAGCCAAACUAUUAGCUACAGCCCAGGAAUUGAUAUUGACUCAUACCUCUGGCCAUCUCCUUCUAAGCAAAAUGAAUAACCAGGUGCACUGCUCAAAGUUCUGUCUGUUGGGAAGAUUUCUCUUCUCCAAUUUCUUCAGGGAAGUCUUAGAAAGGAGCUUUAGCAUUACAGCUGUCUACAUUCUGGUGGUGCCUGCAUAUUGAACAGAACCAUCUGUAAACCAGGCCCGUGUUUUAUCUUCCUCAGUCAACUCGUUGUAGGUAACUCCCCAUGCGGCCAUAGAUGUAGGCUGUAAAGAGAAGGCAAUGUAGCAUGAGUAGGGGUCAUGGUCAUUUUGCUCACUUCCUGAUGCAAAUUACUUGUACCUUUAUAGACUGAUUGAGCCC